UACAGCCAUAUUAUGUUGAAACACUGGUUCUCACACAAUCACUGAUGUUAAGCAAUAUCGAGCUUGGUCAGUACCUUGAUGGGUGACCACUUGGGAAUACCAGGUGCUGUAAG